GACCUGUGGCGUUACAGAUGCAGUGCAUGUCCCCUCCCUUCUCGGCAACCACAGGAUGAAGGCACAAAGUCUUUCUGCCUUAACUGAAACAAGCAAGUUCUGUUCGUCUGCCCAGAAUGUUCAGUGAAGUGCUCCACAAGGGAUACAGGUUCGGCUGGGUUGUGAGGAACUGCGAAGAUGGUGCAAUCCACAGAAGGAACAAGUUUUUCAGUACCUGUUCUGAAAAAUCUGUUUGGAAGGCCAGCUGAAUGGGAACGUGAAAGUCAGUC